rnacentral:rRNA from 1 species
AGUCGAGCGGACCUUUUAAAAGCUUGGCUUUUGAAAGGUCAGCGGCGGACGGGUGAGUAACACGUGGGCAACCUGCCUGUAAGACUGGGAUAACUUCGGGAAACCGGAGCUAAUACCGGAUAAUAUAAGGAACCUCCUGGUUCUUUAUUGAAAGAUGGUUUCGGCUAUCACUUACAGAUGGGCCCGCGGCGCAUUAGCUAGUUGGUGAGGUAAUGGCUCACCAAGGCGACGAUGCGUAGCCGACCUGAGAGGGUGAUCGGCCACACUGGGACUGAGACACGGCCCAGACUCCUACGGGAGGCAGCAGUAGGGAAUCUUCCACAAUGGACGAAAGUCUGAUGGAGCAACGCCGCGUGAGCGAUGAAGGCCUUCGGGUCGUAAAGCUCUGUUGUUAGGGAAGAACAAGUGCGAGAGUAACUGCUCGCACCUUGACGGUACCUAACCAGAAAGCCACGGCUAACUACGUGCCAGCAGCCGCGGUAAUACGUAGGUGGCAAGCGUUGUCCGGAAUUAUUGGGCGUAAAGCGCGCGCAGGUGGUCCUUUAAGUCUGAUGUGAAAGCCCACGGCUCAACCGUGGAGGGUCAUUGGAAA